rnacentral:lncRNA from 1 species
UUCAUUCCUCAAGAGAAAAAAUAAGAAUUACUCUCUCUAUUCUCUCUACUCUUCUUCUUUGUUCUUUCUUGUUUUAUAACAGAUAUAGAUAUAUAAAGUCAGUAGUUAAUCUGACUAAAAAAUAUGGGUCUCAACUAUCAUCUCAAACGGGGUAUUAAUAUGAAAAUUAAUUUUCUUAUUACAAGCAAUUUCUAAUAUGUCUGUCCGGAUUGUAUCUAGCACAAACAUAUGAGGAACUCCAAAAAUUCAAGCACAUCCAAAAAGCUUACUUGAUGCUCAUUCUUUUGUCAGGGCAUCGGCGAUAUGGUUCCCUUCUUUAAAUCAAUGGACCAUUGGUGGAUACUCUAUCCUUCAUAGUACCACAACAAUAGGUUCAGAUAAUAAGUUGUCAUUUUUUUAAAUUUGAAACACUUCAACGGAGUUGAUAUUAAUCUUCAUAUGAGUAGGGAUUUUACUUUCAUUAAGGUUACUUUCAAUAAGGUCAUUGAAGUUGAUAUUAAUCUCCAUAUGAAUAGGGAUUUUACUUUCAAUUAGGUCGAGACCUCCUGAGUAAAACAUGAUGCUUUAUUUGGUUAUUGAUGCCUCCUUACUUACAAUAAGGUUGAGACCUCCUAAGUAAGACCAUUAUUACUCUUCCUUGUAUUCUCUUAUGACAUCUCCUCUCCUACCCAUAACCUUUCAAGACAAAAAUUGCAAAAAUCGUCAGUAUUGAGCUUAAAGGAGUUUCUAUGGGGAGAUUCACAGUUAAUGCUAAUAAUGAAGGUAUUACGCCUUCUUGGAGUGUUGCCACCCAUAAGAUGCAAGUAUUCAACAACAUUUUUUUUGGUUUCUCAUCUAGUGUUCGGUGGCCGCAUUGGAGCUCCGACUAUCCGGAUCGCGUGUUGCAGGGCCCAUUAAGUCCUGUGCCCGCAUUGGAGCCCUGACUAAUCCGGAUCGCAUGAUGCAGGGCCCAUUAAGGUGGUAGCGCUCCCAACUGAGUUUUCUCCAUACUCAGGAUUGAACCUCCGACCUCUGGUUAAGGGUGGAACAAUUUCAUCCAC